rnacentral:rRNA from 1 species
UAGGGAAUAUUGGUCAAUGGAUGCAAGUCUGAACCAGCCAUGCCGCGUGCAGGAAGAAGGCCUUCUGGGUUGUAAACUGCUUUUGCCAGGGGAUAAAAUGAGCGUGCGCGCUUAAUUGAAGGUACCUGGUGAAUAAGCCACGGCUAACUACGUGCCAGCAGCCGCGGUAAUACGUAGGUGGCAAGCGUUGUCCGGAUUUAUUGGGUUUAAAGGGUGCGUAGGCGGCCCUGUAAGUCAGUGGUGAAAUACUCUAGCUUAACUAGAGGGGUGCCAUUGAUACUGCAGGGCUUGAAUGAAGUCGAGGUAGGCGGAAUUGACGGUGUAGCGGUGAAAUGCUUAGAUAUCGUCAAGAACACCGAUAGUGAAGACAGCUUACUAGGCUUAUAUUGACGCUGAGGCACGAAAGUGUGGGGAUCAAACAGG